AACGAACGCUGGCGGCAGGCUUAACACAUGCAAGUCGAGCGCCCCGCAAGGGGAGCGGCAGACGGGUGAGUAACGCGUGGGAACGUACCCUUUGCUGCGGAAUAGCUCCGGGAAACUGGAAUUAAUACCGUAUGUGCCCUACGGGGGAAAGAUUUAUCGGCAAAGGAUCGGCCCGCGUUGGAUUAGCUAGUUGGUGGGGUGAUGGCCUACCAAGGCGACGAUCCAUAGCUGGUCUGAGAGGAUGAUCAGCCACAUUGGGACUGAGACACGGCCCAAACGCCUACGGGAGGCAGCAGUGGGGAAUAUUGGACAAUGGGCGCAAGCCUGAUCCAGCCAUGCCGCGUGAGUGAUGAAGGCCUUAGGGUUGUAAAGCUCUUUCACCGGAGAAGAUAAUGACGGUAUCCGGAGAAGAAGCCCCGGCUAACUUCGUGCCAGCCGCCGCCGUAACAC
rnacentral:rRNA from 1 species